rnacentral:rRNA from 1 species
GAUGAACGCUGGCGGCGUGCCUAAUACAUGCAAGUCGAGCGAACAGACGAGGAGCUUGCUCCUCUGACGUUAGCGGCGGACGGGUGAGUAACACGUGGAUAACCUACCUAUAAGACUGGGAUAACUUCGGGAAACCGGAGCUAAUACCGGAUAAUAUAUUGAACCGCAUGGUUCAAUAGUGAAAUACGGUUUUGCUGUCACUUAUAGAUGGAUCCCCGCCGCAUUAGCUAGUUGGUAAGGUAACGGCUUACCAAGGCAACGAUGCGUAGCCGACCUGAGAGAGUGAUCGGCCACACUGGAACUGAGACACGGUCCAGACUCCUACGGGAGGCAGCAGUAGGGAAUCUUCCGCAAUGGGCGAAAGCCUGACGGAGCAACGCGGAGUGAGAGAUAAAGGUCUUCGGAUCGUAAAACUCUGUUAUUAGGGAAGAACAAAUGUGUAAGUAACUAUGCACGGCUUGACGGUACCUAAUAAGAAAGCCACGGCUAACUACGUG